rnacentral:piRNA from 1 species
UACAAACUACAAUCUAAAAAU